rnacentral:lncRNA from 1 species
UUCUCAUAUAUUUUAUGAUAGUAUGAUACUAAACCCCUAACGGGAAGGAUUGUGCCUGAUAUUCAUAUGAUGAAGACAUAAUCUUGCAAUCAGUUUAAUUGAGGUCUGGAGCUGGCAUGUCAGUUAACUGCUAGUAGUCUGUUGUUAUUUAUGUAUUAUUGUCAUUUUAUUUAUUUUCUUUUGUUACAUCUUCUGAUAUCGGACUCGGACUUCUCUUGAACUGAAUUUUAAUGUGCGUAUUGUUAUGCGUUUACUUUUCUACAUUGGCUAGAGGUAUAGGGGGAGGGUUGAGAUCUCAUAAACAUGUUCAACC